UUUUGAGCUAACUGGUCUCAACCUACAAUAAACAUAGGGGCCAAAACACAGAGGCCAUCUUUGGCUCAUUUAUGUAACCAUUCAUCCCUUGAAGAACAUCUGGGUUGUUUCCAGUGGGCAAUUAUAAACAGAGCCUCUAUCAACAUUCCUGUACCAGUUUUAGAAUGAACAUAAAUUUAUAUUUCUCUAAGUACUCAGGAGUAGAAUUGACGUUCUGUCAUAUGGAUAGCCACUGAGCAAGCCUGUAAGGCUAUUGGUCUGCCCAUUCUGGUUUCUUCACCAAUGAGAAAACUGGGACCUGGGGAGUUUGCAGAAGCCAUCCAAGGGCACCUGCUUCUCACAGCACAGCAGCUUCCUGCAGCCCUCCCUCCUGUCUUGUUUCUCCCUUAAUUGAGAGGAGAGGCCAGAACCAGAUGCAGGCAGUUCCAACAGUAAUGAAUUGCUCUAAGGUGUGGAUCCAAGAACCGGUGACAAGGUCAGGAAAUUCCAUCCCGGGACACUGACCCAACUAAGAGACUGUGCAUGAUGGCUAAGUUCAGAGCUCUGAGGAGAUGGUAAAACUCAUUUGCAACGAAACAAGAUAUUUUCCAACUCUGCAGCCAGUUUCUGAUUUGAAAGUGGCUGAUUUGGGGAAUGAGUUCUGAGCACUCUGUGGGUUAUUACUGUAGAAACCAUCCUCCUGGCUGUCUCACCAUCAGCGCCACCUCUCCGUGGGUCUGGAGUCUUGAGGAGCCAGGACUGGACUGGGAUGUAAGGUUGGGUCUUCCGAGCUGUAGAUGGGAGCAGGAAGAUGUAUCUCCAUUCACGAUCUCAGUACAAGGCUCAGCUAUCUCCCGGCAACUCGCCCAUCAUCUGUUUCUGAGUUCUUCUGACAUACAGGUUCUUUGGAGGCGGCAUCAAGAAAAUACAUUUGGACAAAUCCUUCAUCUCAAAUAUUUUCCCCUCAUGAAACCAAAGGCAUUGCUCCAAAGUCAUUUCCAUUAAUUAGACAUGCAUCUUGUAUGACUGAAGGAGAAUCUAGUCCACAAACUCUGGGUUAAUUUUCUCUUCUGACAUCUGUGUGUAGUGUUUCUCUGAGGAGCUGAAUUAUCUGCUCUCCAGUGCCUUCCUCUCGGUGUUUUUUGGCCAGGAGCAAGGAGACAGGCAGCUGCAUUCUGGGAGCAGCAAGCAAUUCUGAGAACUGGAGCUGCUUAGGUUCUUUCACUUCUGCUUCAAAGGAAUACGUUGAGUUUGCAGAGAAUGAAGGAGAGAAAGACUCCAAGUUCCAAGCAGGGUCUUGGGGUAGUCUCUGAGCAUCCCAAUGUACUUACUUCCUCCCCACAGCUUCCUCACUGGGCUCCCAGCCACCAGUAUUUGUCUCUUUAAUCCCCCAACACAGAGCUACUAGAUGGAUUUCUUUCUUUCUUUUUUGUUUCUUUCUUUCGAUCGAUUUCUCUUUCUUUCUUUCUUUCUCUUUCCUUCUUUCUUUUCUUUCCUUUUCUUUUCUUUCUUUCUUUUUCUUUCUUUUACAUCUUCCUUCCUUCCUUGCUUCCUUUCUCUCUCUUUUUCUUUCUUUUAUGGUUUUUUUUUUGUUGUUGUUGUUGUUGUUUUUAGACAGUCUUGCUCUGUCACCCAGGCUGGAGUGCAGUGGUGCAAUCUCGGCUCACUGAAGUCUCAACCUCCUAGGCUCAAACAGUCCUCCAACUUCAGCCUCCCAAGUAGCUGAGACUACAGAUCAGCAAUCUGGCUAAUUAAAAAAAAAUUUUUUUUAGAGAUGGGGUCUUACUAUGUUGCCCAGUCUGGUCUUGAACUCCUAGCCUCAAACAGUCAUCCUCCCUUAGCCUCCUAAAGUGCCGUGAUUAUAGGCGUGAGCCACCAUGCCCAGCUGGAUUUUUUCUUUUAACUGUAGUUUUAUCAUGUUCUUUUUGCUUAAAAUAAACUUUUCUGAAGUAAAUUCUGGACUCUGCAAGGUCUUUGUUCUAUUUGUUAUGGUGUUUGGGCAAGCCCUCUGUUUUCCUGUCCAGAGCAGGCCUGGGACCUUUGCCUUCGGUGGCUUUCCUGGGAUCCCCCACUACCCAGAAGAGCAGGGCUAUUGCCUCUGCUCGUCCCCAGAUCCCAACCCUCCAUGGGCCUGCCCUGGAUCCUUGCUGUUGGAGGGGAGGCACAACUUCACCUCUACCCUCAUAGGGAUUUUUGGCUGCACCUGC
rnacentral:lncRNA from 1 species